rnacentral:rRNA from 1 species
CCUACGGGAGGCUGCAGUAGGGAAUAUUGCUCAAUGGGGGAAACCCUGAAGCAGCAACGCCGCGUGGAGGAUGAAGGUUUUCGGAUUGUAAACUCCUUUUGUUAGAGAAGAUAAUGACGGUAUCUAACGAAUAAGCACCGGCUAACUCCGUGCCAGCAGCCGCGGUAAUACGGAGGGUGCAAGCGUUACUCGGAAUCACUGGGCGGAAAGAGCGCGUAGGCGGGAUAGCAAGUCAGAUGUGAAAUCCUAUGGCUUAACCAUAGAACUGCAUUUGAAACUGUUAUUCUAGAGUAUGGGAGAGGUAGGUGGAAUUCUUGGUGGAGGGGUAAAAUCCGUAGAGAUCAAGAGGAAUACUCAGUGCGAAGGCGACCUGCUAGAACAUAACUGACGCUGAUGCGCGAAAGCGUGGGGAGCAAACAGGAGUAGAUACCCGAGUAGUC